CAAACAAAACCGGAAGAAAAAUAAAGUAACCCAUGACACAAGCUCUCAUGGGGGAGCUGAAACAGCAUCAGACACCAAGAUGUGAAGGAGGGUUGGAGGUGGAUUAUGAAUCCAAUUCAGAGGACACUCCGACCUUGAAGCAAGUCCCCAGCUUCCUUCCUCUGCCGUCAACGCAUCCCAGCUUGAGAGAUCGCACAAAAUUCACGAGAGGCUCUGUGCUCCGACAUCUUCAAAGGUUGAGAGAUCUCUCUGUGCUCCGGGUCGUUCUGUGCUCCAACAUCUUCAAAGCUCGAGAGAUCGCUCUGUGCUCCAACUCUCACUCUGUGCUCCGACAUCUCGACAGAUCGCUCUGUGCUUCUACUCGGUCUGUGCUCCAACAUCUUCAAAGCUCGAUAGAUCGCUCUGUGCUCCGACAUCUUCAAAGCCGAAAGUGGUUAAUUGAUUCAGCGAAUCAACCUCAGUAACAAGUAGUCACAGAUCCAAACAAGAGCUGCGGCCCUAUUUCUAUAUUUGGUCGAUUUGUGGUAUUUUGGGUACUAAAUUUCAACAGGCAGAGACGGGCUAACAGAAGAUGAGAAGAUGAAAUGCCAAAAACUUCCAGUCAGCAAUGAUUAAAUUUGACAACAAUCUUACAGUCAGCAAUGAAAGUGAAGAUUACUCAAGUGAAGACAACAAUGAAGAGAUGGAAGACAAUGCAUACGAAGAAGAUGGUCCGGGAAGACCAGAAAUGGAGAUGUUAAGAAAUACAAUUGCACAAAGUCUAAUGAAUGAAUCUACUUAGCAUUUAGUUGCAAAGUUGUAUUGACUUUAAUACAUUUUGUGUAAUGUUUCCCGUAUACCAUGGUGGGGGCAUGUUUUAUGUAAUAUUCUCAACUCAUUUGUAUAAUAUUUAAGGGUUUAAUGUAAUCUUUUAUUUGAUCCAAGCAAU